rnacentral:rRNA from 1 species
GUAGGUGGCAAGCGUUGUCCGGAAUUAUUGGGCGUAAAGCGCGCGCAGGCGGUUUUUAAGUCUGAUGUGAAAGCCCACGGCUCAACCGUGGAGGGUCAUUGGAAACUGGAGAACUUGAGUACAGAAGAGGAAAGCGGAAUUCCACGUGUAGCGGUGAAAUGCGUAGAGAUGUGGAGGAACACCAGUGGCGAAGGCGGCUUUCUGGUCUGUAACUGACGCUGAGGCGCGAAAGCGUGGGGAGCAAACAGGGAUUAGAUACCCUGGUAGUCCACGCCGUAAACGAUGAGUGCUAAGUGUUAGGGGGUUUCCCGCCCCUUAGUGCUGCAGCUAACGCAUUAAGCACUCCGCCUGGGGAUACGGCCGCAAGGCUG